AUUGAACGCUGGCGGCAUGCUUUACACAUGCAAGUCGAACGGCAGCACGGGUGCUUGCACCUGGUGGCGAGUGGCGAACGGGUGAGUAAUGCAUCGGAACGUGCCCAUGAGUGGGGGGAUAGCCCGGCGAAAGCCGGAUUAAUACCGCAUACGCCCUUAGGGGGAAAGCGGGGGAUCUUCGGACCUCGCGCUAUUGGAGCGGCCGAUGUCGGAUUAGCUAGUAGGUGAGGUAAAGGCUCACCUAGGCGACGAUCCGUAGCUGGUCUGAGACGGAUGAUCAGCCACACUGGGACUGAGACACGGCCCAGACUCCUACGGGAGGCAGCAGUGGGGAAUUUUGGACAAUGGGCGCAAGCCUGAUCCAGCCAUGCCGCGUGAGUGAAGAAGGCCUCGGUUGUAAGG
rnacentral:rRNA from 1 species